CGCAUAAUGUCUUCGGACCAAACGGGGCUUCGGCUCCGGCGCAAAGAGAGGCCCAAGUGAGAUUAGCUAGUUGGUAAGGUAACGGCUUACCAAGGCGACGAUCUCUAGCUGUUCUGAGAGGAAGAUCAGCCACACUGGGACUGAGACACGGCCCAGACUCCUACGGGAGGCAGCAGUGGGGAAUAUUGCACAAUGGGGGAAACCCUGAUGCAGCCAUGCCGCGUGUGUGAAGAAGGCCUUCGGGUUGUAAAGCACUUUCAGUUGUGAGGAAAAGUUAGUAGUUAAUACCUGCUAGCCGUGACGUUAACAACAGAAGAAGCACCGGCUAACUCCGUGCCAGCAGCCGCGGUAAUACGGAGGGUGCGAGCGUUAAUCGGAAUUACUGGGCGUAAAGCGCACGCAGGCGGUUUGUUAAGCUAGAUGUGAAAGCCCCGGGCUCAACCUGGGAUGGUCAUUUAGAACUGGCAGACUANAGUCUUGGAGAGGGGA
rnacentral:rRNA from 1 species